UCUCGAUAAAGGCAAACCUAAUGAAAGUUAGGGACGCAAAACUUUAGGGGCUAAGGGCAAAGUGGUUAUUGUCUAUGCUAGCCAGUUUCCGAA
rnacentral:ncRNA from 1 species